rnacentral:rRNA from 1 species
UUGGAGGGCAAGUCUGGUGCCAGCAGCCGCGGUAAUUCCAGCUCCAAUAGCGUAUAUUAAAGUUGUUGUGGUUAAAAAGCUCGUAGUUGAACCUUGGGCCUGGCUGGCCGGUCCGCCUCACCGCGUGUACUGGUCCGGCCGGGCCUUUCCCUCUGUGGAACCCCAUGCCCUUCACUGGGCGUGGCGGGGAAACAGGACUUUUACUGUGAAAAAAUUAGAGUGCUCCAGGCAGGCCUAUGCUCGAAUACAUUAGCAUGGAAUAAUAGAAUAGGA